ACANUGAUCCUACUCUACUCUAUACUAAACCACUGACAUCAUUAUUAAUAGGCUGUUAGUUUUCUACUACUUGUGCCUGUUUGUAUACUGUGUACACAGGUCUAUGUACUCUAUGUACAGUGAUACUUAAAUGUACCAAUUAUUCAAAAUUAAGUUUGUGACUUCUCUCCGAUUGUACCUGUACCUGUGUACAUGUAUACCUGGAUUCCUGGAUACUUCUACCAUGUAUACUACCGGAGAGAGAGUUAUUGUGAAACCCACUGCUCACUCUACACUCUACACACUCUACACAUUCCUCUUUAUACUCCUGAAAUGAAGAUCUACAGUCCACAAUUCAGAUCUUAGAGUUAACAAUAUCAGAGUAGAUAUUAUUAACAGAUGUAAUCCAAUCUAACCCCCUUCCUCCCUCCCUAAACCUUCGGAGUAAGGAUUCUGAAUAUCCCUGCACGGAUAUUUGCCCAGGAUUUAAUUCUCAGGAUUGGGUUUCCCUUGCUCAAUCCCUGUUAUUACAGGGUGUAAAUUUCAAGGGUGAGUCGUGAAACUAUAUAUCAGUGAUUAUCUAAAUCCGACCCUUCGAACCCUCAAAACAAUAGGAACUCAACAGGUUAUUUUAUAGCACCGUGAGUUCAACAGGUUUCAAAAACUCAUCCAGUCAAAUGGAUUUCGAGAUUUUUUAUACUGUUUCUUGAACAAUAACUACUACUACUACUACUACUAGGCCACUUUCUAAUCAAUUAUAUAAAAUGAUUGUCAAGCUUUGUGAAUAAGUAUGCUUGGGAAAUAGUGAAAUUGUUUAAUAGUAAACUUGUUUUUAGUAAGUACUUUUAGUGAACUAGUUAGUUAGUAAACUUAUUUAAUAGCUGUUUGUUUUACUAGAUUUACUUUUUAUACUAGUUAGUUUACUAUUGUAUUCUUCUCUUAGUUACUUUUUUAGUUUUCUAGUUAAUUAGAAUUGCAGUUUACUUACUUCCUAAAUUAUGCUUGAACUUUUUACUUGUUUGCUAGUUGCUAGUUCUGUAUUUUAAGUGAUUUGAGUGUCAACUAGCUUCUCAACUGACUUACAUGCAAGUAAACUUGUUUACACGUUUUUACACCUUUACUUGUAAAUUAGGUUACAAGCUUUAGUAUUGACGUAAUUAGCAAACUAGCAGUAAAUCGGCUGUUUAAUAAUUUACCUGAGGUUUCUUGUUAAAACAUCUAACUAAUUUACUCGUUCACUAAACUACAAGCUUCCUUAAUAUAGUUUAAUAGUUUAUUUCUUAAAUUUUUUUAGAAAAGUUUUUUGUUAAUUUUCCAGCUUACUAAUCAUUAUAUGCUUGUACCCUUUACUCUGUGCUAUGCACAAUUAAGAAUAACAAUUUACUCGCUGUAAAAAGGUUCUAGUUCACGAGACAGGGUCAGUCAAUAAAAUUAGGACUAUUCUAUAGAAGGUAUUAACUUACCAUAUCUUGCCUAAGUAGUCCUAUGCUUAUUGGUUAACCUUGAAAUCCAUUUCUAAAUUGAACUUGUCACAUUUAGAUAAUGUAUCGUAUGUAUUACAAUGUAGUACAAAGUACAACAAUGUGCACUGUACUUGCUACCAUUGUAUUGUACAGUCUUGUUUAAGCUAGAAUCUGUAGAUCUUGUGGUGUGUAUUAAAUGCAUAUUUAUUCCAAAAUAUUGCACAUUGCACCUUUAGUUAAUUGGACCAUGCACAUGUAGUACACUGAUGUACCAUAUAUGUAGUAUAUAAUGAACGGUUGAAUAUCCUGUGUAGGAUAUUGGAUAUAAAGUAUAACCAUGUCCUCUGUAGGAUAUGGAUAAUAUCCAAGCCCUAUGUAGGAUAUGGAUAAUAUCCAAGUCCUCUGACGAAUAUGGAUAGUAUCCAAGUCCUCUGUAGGAUAUGGAUCUCAAGAAUAUCCAAUUCCACUGUAGGAUAUGGAUAUUAAGAAUAUCAAAGUCCACUAUUUGAUAUGGAUAUGAAGAAUAUCAAAGUCCUCUGAAGGAUAUGGAUAAUAUCCAAUUCCACUGUAGGAUAUGGAUAUGGAAAAUAUCCAUGUCCUCUGAAGGAUAUCGAUAUAAAGAAUAUCCAAGUCCACUAUUGGAUAUUGAAAUAAGUGAAAACAAGUCUUCCAUUUUCUAUGCAAUCAUUGAUAAUUCAAUUUUGGUGUGAUUAAAAAAAAUUUAUCUUAAAAAUUUAUUACUGUUUCAAAACCGCUUGGAUUAAUUUAAAUGUUAAAAACCUUGAUUUGUAUAUAAAUAGUUUGAUCUAACCAUCCUACUACUGUCUCUCUGACUCCAGGUCCCCCUGGAGCAAAUAUCCGGAUGAAAGAAUAAUCUGGAGUAAGAGAGGGAGGUUAGAAUUCCCUUUUUUUAACUUAUUAUUUGAAUACUUUUUAUUUACAUUUUAUUUUAGCAACCCCAGAGUUCCCUGUUUUGAAUAUUUGAUAUAAUAUUGUAUUAUGCUGCUUGGAUGAAAUGUUUUAAUUCAGGACAUUUUUAUUUUCUAUUCAAUGGUUAAACACACUGCACUGUUUCUAGUACAGCUUCCACUGUUCUGAUAUAAUUGUUUAUCACCAUAUCAAUAUAAUUUGAAAUCAUAUGUAUCUUUUACGUGAAAUAUAUGAAUUUGACAAUUA
rnacentral:lncRNA from 1 species